UACGUAGGAUGCGAGCGUUGUCCGGAAUUAUUGGGCGUAAAGAGAACGUAGGCGGUUUGUUAAGUUUGGGCUUAAAGACUGGGGCUCAACCCCAGGAGUGGCUCGAAAACUGACAGACUAGAGGAUGGCAGAGGAAAGUGGAAUUCCCAGUGUAGCGGUGAAAUGCGUAGAUAUUGGGAGGAACACCAGUGGCGAAAAGCGGCGACCUGGACAGAGACUGACGCUGAGAUGCGAAAGCGUGGGGAGCAAACAGG
rnacentral:rRNA from 1 species